AGGCUUCAAUGUUUCACUCAAGGGUGGCUGAUACUUCAUUAUCAUCCCAUCAGAUGCGACAUCUUCUACACUGUGAAAGCAAUACGUUGGAACACAA